AUAUUUUGAAUUAAGUAUAUUCAUAAUAUGUUAUCAGACGAAUGUUGUUAAAGAUAUAGGUUGAUAUUUAUGAAGGGAAAGAAAAGACUUUCCCAACAAACAUUGCACACAAGGUGGAUAUGGAUUUAAAAAGUGCCAUAAAACACUUAUUAUGAAUGAUCCUUCCGCAGGUUCACCUACGGAAA
rnacentral:misc_RNA from 1 species